rnacentral:rRNA from 1 species
UCAGUAUUGAGUAUUCUAAGUCUAGAAUGUUCAAUUCUGAGCAAAACCAAGCGGCGGACGGGUGAGUAACGCGUGGGUAACCUGCCCUAUACACAUGGAUAACAUACUGAAAAGUUUACUAAUACAUGAUAAUAUAUAUUUGCGGCAUCGCAGAUAUAUCAAAGUGUUAGCGGUAUAGGAUGGACCCGCGUCUGAUUAGCUAGUUGGUGAGAUAACUGCCCACCAAGGCGACGAUCAGUAGCCGACCUGAGAGGGUGAUCGGCCACAUUGGAACUGAGACACGGUCCAAACUCCUACGGGAGGCAGCAGUGGGGAAUAUUGCACAAUGGGCGAAAGCCUGAUGCAGCAACGCCGCGUGAACGAUGAAGGUCUUCGGAUCGUAAAGUUCUGUUGCAGGGGAAGAUAAUGACGGUACCCUGUGAGGAAGCCCCGGCUAACUACGUGCCAGCAGCCGCGGUAAUACGUAGGGGGCUAGCGUUAUCCGGAUUUACUGGGCGUAAAGGGUGCGUAGGUGGUCCUUCAAGUCGGUGGUUAAAGGCUACGGCUCAACCGUAGUAAGCCGCCGAAACUGGAGGACUUGAGUGCAGGAGAGGAAAGUGGAAUUCCCAGUGUAGCGGUGAAAUGCGUAGAUAUUGGGAGGAACACCAGUAGCGAAGGCGGCUUUCUGGACUGCAACUGACACUGAGGCACGAAAGCGUGGGUAGCAAACAGGAUUAGAUACCCUGGUAGUCCACGCUGUAAACGAUGAGUACU